AUUGAACGCUGGCGGCAGGCUUAACACAUGCAAGUCGAGCGCGCGGCGGACGGGUGUGUAAUGUCUGGGAAACUGCCUGAUGGAGGGGGAUAACUACUGGAAACGGUAGCAAACACCGUAUAACAUCAGAUGUGCCCAGAUGGGAUUAGCUAGUAGGUGGGGUAAUGGCUCACCUAGGCGACGAUCCCUAGGGGGUCUGAGAGGAUGACCAGCCACACUGGAACUGAGACACGGUCCAGACUCCUACGGGAGGCAGCAGUGGGGAAUAUUGCACAAUGGGCGCAAGCCUGAUGCAGCCAUGCCGCGUGUGUGAAGAAGGCCUUCGGGUUGUAAAGCACUUUCAGCGAGGAGGCGUUACUCGCAGAAGAAGCACCGGCUAACUCCGUGCCAGCAGCCGCGGUAAUUC
rnacentral:rRNA from 1 species